GAAUUUUGGAUAAUGGGGGCAACCCUGAUCCAGCCAUCCCGCGUGUGCGAUGAAGGCCUUCGGGUUGUAAAGCACUUUUGGCAGGGAAGAAAAGGCGCCGGCUAAUACCUGGUGCUGCUGACGGUACCUGCAGAAUAAGCACCGGCUAACUACGUGCCAGCAGCCGCGGUAAUACGUAGGGUGCAAGCGUUAAUCGGAAUUACUGGGCGUAAAGCGUGCGCAGGCGGUUCGGAAAGAAAGAUGUAAAAUCCCAGGGCUUAACCUUGGAACUGCAUUUUUAACUACCGGGCUAGAGUAUGUCAGAGGGGGGUAGAAUUCCACGUGUAGCAGUGAAAUGCGUAGAGAUGUGGAGGAAUACCGAUGGCGAAGGCAGCCCCCUGGGAUAAUACUGACGCUCAGGCACGAAAGCGUGGGGAGCAAACAG
rnacentral:rRNA from 1 species